rfam:Pan troglodytes isolate Yerkes chimp pedigree #C0471 (Clint) chromosome 9, whole genome shotgun sequence.
GGUAAAAUGGCUGAGUAAGCAUUGGACUGUAAAUCUAAAGACAGAGGUCAAGACCUCUUUUUACCA